GUAAACAAAAGAAAUGUGUAUUUAGAGCAGAACUAAGACCUGAAAUAUACAACAAAAAUAAGUGAUAAGUUCAGGAAGUGAUUGUAUUUAUUUUGGUAACAAGAUUAAAACAGAUCUCCACCGAUGAGCAGACAUCAUGGAAUGCAUUUCCUCUGUGAGGACCACCACCAGGCUGGUGAGAUGGAGAAAUGCAUGAUGGGGGAGAAGAGGAGGAGGAGGAGAGGAAGAAAAGGAGGAGCAUGAGGGAGUUCUGGGGGGGAUGGGGUGCCAGCUUUCACUGUUGAGCAGAGACAUCUGGAAGCAUUUACGUCUGCACUAACACAGAGAGCGGCGCAGGCCCAACAGUUACAUCACUCGCAGUUCCACACAAUCCCCCACCCCCACCACAUACACACACACACACGCACACGCGCACAAACACACACGGCCAAAUACUUAACUGCACGUGCAAAGACAAACAAACACACACGAACCUGAACGAAUUGAACAAAAGCCUAUCUUGGGAUUUGGGUGUGUGCAAAAACAUGCGCUCACACAGAUAUGACCAACUGGCCAAACACUAAACGAUACAGGAGGACUCAUGUGGACAAGCGCCUACACACACAUGCACGUUUGUACACACACAAUCACACCCCCCACCCUCCCCUCCCCUCCGGCCCCCGUAACCCAGUACGAUUUCCUGCAAAUUCCAAAGUCAGAUCCCGGCUGGAACAUUUCAGCCCGCCUGCCACGUCAGUUUGCUUCCACCAUCCUCCCUCUCUCAUUCUCUUUCUUUCUCUUUGCUUUUUCGCGAAAGGCAACCGACACGAAAAUGCACCAUUUCCAGUUGGUGUUUGGACACACUGAGGCUACUGGACUGGGGUUCGUCUUUAGCAGUGGUUUGUAGUGGUAUCUUUUAGGGGACUUUUUUAUAUUUCGCUGGAAGAAUGGAUAUGACUGAGGCCUUGGGAAAAAGAAGUGGGUAGCAACGUGCAGCCGCAAUGACCUCGGGGUCCUUCCUCCAAUCAGAGUCCUCCUCACCCCCCCGCCUGCCCAGUGUUCAGACUACCUGUUCAUCAGGCUACAGCUGAACAGUAGUCUGCACAUUGGUUAGGCUGGGCUGGGACACACACACCUCCAGCCACCGCGGGUGAUGACACAACUUGGGAUAGUUUAUCCCAUCAUUAUUUUAAUCUUAAUGCAUUCCUGUAGUGCUGUGUCAUCUUAUCUCCGCCAGCCAGCCGUAUCCCCAGUGUCC